GUGUUUUACUCAUAUACAUAUAUAUGUAUGACAUAUAUAUGUGUGCGUGUGUGUUUUGUGUAUAUAAGUGUAUGUGCGUACGAGAGUUCAUAUCGAAUUGUUCGAUUUGAAGAUGACCAUUAGUCAUAUUAUUAUCGGAGUCACACCGAUGUUUCUUUUGAGCGUUGGCUGCUAGCACCGCCGAUCUCGAAGUCCUGUCGAGGAAGUCGGUGUAGAUACCGGUAGAAGCGUCACGCUUGGGACGCUCGAUCGACGGUUUAAAAGAUUUCAGCAGCAGGGCCAUGUCCCAAAAUUCCAUCAUUAGCAGAAGGUGGAUUAUUGAACGACCUUACCAAAUUGGGAGACUGGAAAGGUGCACCUCUGGCCAUGGGAGAUUAAGAGAAGCCUCCUCGGUUGUAAGCCCCUCGUCCACUUGUGCCACGACCACCAGACAUCUGGGGUGUCCAGUUAUUAUUACCCCAGUUGGGUCCAAUGUUUCUCCAUUGACUGUUGUUACGGCCACCUCGAUCGCGACCGCAAUUGCCACGUCCUCCACGAGAAUGGCCACCCCCUCGAGCAGUUUGGGUAAGUGUCUGGAGCGCAGUUGGCUGAGUUGUGACUGAAAUAGAGGUAGGCUUCGAGUAGAAUUGCUCGAGCCUCUUUUGCUGAUGUGUGAGGUUUGUUCGAAGAGUCUCGAAGGUCAGUGGAUCCCAAUCGUUGGCAUUUGUGGUGACAAAGGACUCGUAUUCCUUAGGGAGAUCUGCAAGAGCAUAUGUAACCAGGUCCUCAUCAGAUAUGGGCUUUCCAAUUUCUCGAAGCUCAUCACCUAACACCUUCAGAUCACGAAGGUAUUUGUCGGUUCCUUGAUCAGUGAGUUUCACACGGGAAAGAAGAAUCUUGAUAUCGACGGCCCAAGAGUGUGUACGCUCCACGAAUCGAGUCUGGAGACAAUCCUAGACGGCCUUGGCAGUCGGUAGGUCAUGCACAUCUUCGAGAAGAUCCUCAGCGAUGGUUGCAAAGAUCCAAGAACGGAUGUGUUGAUCUGUGCGCAUCCACCCAGCGUGAUUGGCAUCCGUGCUCUCUGGGCAGGAGAAGCUGCCAUCGACAUAAGAGAAAAGAUCAUGAGAGAGUAAGAAAGUGGAAAAUAGGGACUUUCAUAUGAUGUAAUUCCUCUGGGUCAGAGUGAUGGUGAUCAGAUCCGUGAUGUUAGGGGUUGCGAUAGUUCCGGUGUUUGUGUGAAGAAUUUGGGUAGAGAAGGAUGGUUGAGUAGUCAGUGGAUUGAGGGAUAUUGAAUUUGCAGAAGAUGGAUUAGGUGAGGAAGAGGCAAAAGGGUUGGUAUUGGGGUUUUCUCUAUCUGAGGCCAUGGCAGGUGAUGUGAGGUGAUUGGAGGGGUUGUCGGUGAAGAAUUUUUUUUUUUAGACUAAUAUAUUGGCUCUGAUACCAUGUGAAUGGUUAAUGCCGUACCCAAUAGGGUUGGCUUCAUCGUAUAUUUAUAAUCUAAGAAUUACAAGGUAAAUACUUAUACAUGGUAUGUGUAUCUCCUAAUAAGGGUAAGAAUACCCGAAAUAUAUUGAAAUACACUUUUAUAUUAGAAUACUA